AGUGAACGCUGGCGGUAGGCCUAACACAUGCAAGUCGAACGGCAGCACAGUAAGAGCUUGCUCUUACGGGUGGCGAGUGGCGGACGGGUGAGGAAUACAUCGGAAUCUACUUUUUCGUGGGGGAUAACGUAGGGAAACUUACGCUAAUGCCGCAUACGACCUACGGGUGAAAGCAGGGGAUCUUCGGACCUUGCGCGAUUGAAUGAGCCGAUGUCGGAUUAGCUAGUUGGCGGGGUAAAGGCCCACCAAGGCGACGAUCCGUAGCUGGUCUGAGAGGAUGAUCAGCCACACUGGAACUGAGAAACGGUCCAGACUCUUACGGGAGGCAGCAGUGGGGAAUAUUGGACAAUGGGCGAAAGCCUGAUCCAGCCAUACCGCGUGGGUGAAGAAGGCCUUCGGGUUGUAAAGCCCUUUUGUUGGGAAAGAAAAGAAGCAGGUUAAUACCCCGCUGUUCUGACGGUACCAAAAGAAUAAGCACCGGCUAACUUCGU
rnacentral:rRNA from 1 species